UACGUAGGGUGCGAGCGUUGUCCGGAAUUAUUGGGCGUAAAGAGCUCGUAGGCGGUGUGUCGCGUCGGUCGUGAAAACUUGGGGCUUAACCCUGAGCGUGCGGUCGAUACGGGCAUCACUGGAGUUCGGCAGGGGAGACUGGAAUUCCUGGUGUAGCGGUGAAAUGCGCAGAUAUCAGGAGGAACACCGGUGGCGAAGGCGGGUCUCUGGGCCGAUACUGACGCUGAGGAGCGAAGGCGUGGGGAGCAAACAGG
rnacentral:rRNA from 1 species